rnacentral:lncRNA from 1 species
CAAUGCUAAAAUUAUUAUCCCAACAAUUAUAUUAAUCCCAAUAAUGCAGAGUAUUAUUAUUAAUAAACAGAAUUCUUAAUUUCCAGUAAGAACUCUGUAAUCUAAAUUAAUAUACCAAUAAUGCAGAGUAUUAUUAUUAAAACAGAAUCCUUAAUUCCCAGAAAGAACUCUGUAAUCUGAAUUAAUACGGCGUCCACAGUUUACUUAUCAGUCUCAUCAGUCCGCUGUUCUUCAACCAAUUUAAUGGCAACUCUUCCAACUUCUCAUCAACUCAUUUUUUUCUGAUCCACUGUCAUCACCCCUUCUAAUCCUAACAGCCUGGCUGCUCCCCUUUAUGAUUUUAGCAAGCCAAUAUCAUCUAUCCAAAAUAUUGUUCCCAUGAAAAAACCCUUAUAUUUCGAUAGUAGUAGGGAUACAGAUAUUUUUAAUUAUAACAGCCACAGAAUGAAUCGUAUUUUAUAUUCUCUUUGACGCCACACUAGUCUCCACCCUAAUUAUUAUUACUGGUUGAGGUAAUCAAGCAGAAUGCCUUAAUGCAGGCUUAUACUUCUCAUUUUACACACUGGUAGGAUUCUUACCUUUGCUUGUAGCACUUAUAUAUACUCAAAAUGCCUCAGGCUCAGUAAAUUUGUUAAUCACAACAUAUACUACUCAAGAAAGAGCAAACUUGAUCUAACAACCCUCUAUGACUAGCAUGCAUCAUGGGAUUUAUGGUAAAAAUGCCUCUCUACAGACCCACCUAUGACUCCCUAAAGCCUGCAUUGUUGGCUCAGUAAUAUUGCAGCAAUAGUCCUAAAAUUAGGCGGCUCCGGGAAUGACACAGGUCACUCUAAUCCUCCCCCUGACAGAAUAAUACAUAGCCUACCCUUUCCUUAUGCUAUCCCUAUGAGAAUAAUUAUAACACUCUUCCUUUGUCUACACCGAACUGAUCUCAAUAGUAGGAGAACACUUCAUAACCAUAGCCUCAUUCUCUUGAUCCAAUCUCAACAUCAUUCUUAUGGGACUUAACAUGUUAAUUACAGCCCUCUACUCUCACUAUAUAUACUAAUCAUCACACAAUGAGGGGUCUGAACGUAUACAUCAACAAUAUGUGAGAAAAUACCCUUAUAUUAGUACACCUAGCACUCCU